UACAUAGGGUGCAAGCGUUAUCCGGAAUUAUUGGGCGUAAAGAGCUCGUAGGCGGUUUGUCGCGUCUGCUGUGAAAACUGGGGGCUCAACCCCCAGCCUGCAGUGGGUACGGGCAGACUAGAGUGCGGUAGGGGAGAUUGGAAUUCCUGGUGUAGCGGUGAAAUGCGCAGAUAUCAGGAGGAACACCGGUGGCGAAGGCGGGUCUCUGGGCCGAUACUGACGCUGAGGAGCGAAAGCGUGGGGAGCGAACAGG
rnacentral:rRNA from 1 species